rnacentral:rRNA from 1 species
UUGUCGNGUCUGCAGUGAAAAUCCGAGGCUCAACCUCGGACUUGCUGUGGGUACGGGCAGACUAGAGUAUGGUAGGGGAGACCGGAAUUCCUGGUGUAGCGGUGGAAUGCGCAGAUAUCAGGAGGAACAACGAUGGCGAAGGCAGGUCUCUGGGCCAUAACUGACGCUGAGAAGCGAAAGCAUGGGGAGCGAACAGGAUUAGAUACCCUGGUAGUCCAUGCCGUAAACGUUGGGCGCUAGGUGUGGGGCUCAUUCCACGAGCUCCGUGCCGCAGGUAACGCAUUAAGCGCCCCCCCUGGGGAGUACGGNCGCAAGGNUAAAACUCAAAGGAAUUGACGGGGGGCCC